GACGAACGCUGGCGGCGUGCUUAACACAUGCAAAUCGAACGGAAAGGCCCUGCUUUUGUGGGGUGCUCGAGUGGCGAACGGGUGAGUAACACGUGAGUAACCUGCCCUUGACUUUGGGAUAACUUCAGGAAACUGGGGCUAAUACCGGAUAGGAGCUCCUGCUGCAUGGUGGGGGUUGGAAAGUUUCGGCGGUUGGGGAUGGACUCGCGGCUUAUCAGCUUGUUGGUGGGGUAGUGGCUUACCAAGGCUUUGACGGGUAGCCGGCCUGAGAGGGUGACCGGCCACCUUGGGACUGAGAUACGGCCCAGACUCCUACGGGAGGCAGCAGUGGGGAAUAUUGCACAAUGGGCGGAAGCCUGAUGCAGCAACGCCGCGUGCGGGAUGACGGCCUUCGGGUUGUAAACCGCUUUCGCCUGUGACGAAGCGUGAGUGACGGUAAUGGGUAAAGAAGCACCGGCUAACUACGUG
rnacentral:rRNA from 1 species